rnacentral:tRNA from 3 species
GGCCUUGUGGUGUAGUGGUAGCAUACUUGCUUUGGGUGCAAGUGGUCCUGGGUUCAAGCCCCAGCAAGGCCC